UCCAGCUGGAUACUAGCAAACAUUCUAUAACUUGUUACAAACUAAAUUCAAAUAUAAUAUGCUAGGUACACUAUUGCGAAGAGUCUACAAUUUUAAAUAGUUUCAAAAUGCAAAAGUAGAAAUUAAUUACAAUAGGCCCGAAGGAGAAUGAAGCCAGGCUGUCAAAAGAAAGACGAUGGAAAACCUAGCUGUCACCUGAAAAAAUUAAAAUUGAAACUGUCAGCCUCGAGAGUGAAUUAAAAUCAUAUAAUCCUAUAAUAAACACAGCCUUCACAAUAAAAUAUUUAUUUAAUCAGAAUAAUAUUAAAAUAUGUAUCAUGCCAUGAUCCAGAAAAAUACAAUUUAAAAGUUUAUGGGAUGAGUACCUCAGCAAAAUCCUAACUCUAAUACUAGCAGCCUUUCGACUCUCUUACACCAAUAGGACUAGCGUCCAGAGAGUAAAGCUCAACUAAGGUCUUUAAAUCCGGUCUGGUCACUUGAUUUCCAAUAAAGCCGGCGCCCAGAGAGCAACGCUCGACCAGGGAACUUUCCUCCGGCAAUCAAAUGUUUACAGCCCAAAAAGUUAUACUCGACCAAGGCAAAUAAAAAAAAAAAAUCUUUUACUACAUGUCUCUGAUUAAUACCGGUACGCACACGGUUCUGAUACAACCCAUCAGGUGGCAUAUUCUACUGCUGCCUCAUCCUGAAAUUACAGUUAUAGCAGAUAUGAAAAUUAUAUGUAAUAAUAAUAAUAAUAAAAAAUAAAAAAUAAAGAUAAUAGCCAAUAAUAAUAAUAAUAAUAAUAAUAAUAAUAAUAAAUGAUAAUAAGGAUAUCGAGAAUAACGAAAAUAAAAUCUAUAAUAAUGAUACUUCUAGUAUUCGUAAUAAUUAUUAAUCAAAUAAAAUUAAUGCUAAUAAUGCUAAUAAUAAUCAUAGUACUUAUAAACCCAUAGCAUUGCAUUUAAUUUAAAGUUGACUAUAUGACUUUAACUCACUGUUUUGUCGCGCUCUACGGUUUGCCCCUAUGCCUCGGGUGGAGCUGGCUGGACAUACGGAUUAUCUAUUAACGAAAAUAACUCAGUUAAUAAGAUAUUCUUAAUUUUUCCUAGGUCUAGACUCCUAGAUUAGACUGCCUAAAAAAUUCUGACUCGAAAAUUUACCAAAAAUUUGGUAAAAUCUCCCCUAAAGUAUGGACAUUUACCCCCCCAUAUAAUGGAUUCAGAACUUGCUAGAAAUACUUCAAAUAUUCCGUAAUUAUUUAACUAGAGUUGGGCUACCAAAACUGUAUUAUUUUUCUCCGAUUUCGUAACAUAUCACAGAUCACAAUUAAUUAUAGACAGUUCAUCAUUAAUAUUUAUUCCACAACCAACCCACAAAAAUUUUAUGGUAUUUAAACUAAUCAAACACAACCACAUCUACCACAAAACAAAACAAUAAUUAAUCAUACUAAUUAAUUUAAAAUAUUUAUAUCUAAGUUAUAAUUAAUUAAAUCUAAUUAAAUUAAAUUAUUUAUAAUUAAUAGAAAUAAUAUUCUCUAAAAUUAUAAAAUAAUUUUUAAGGUCCAAACAAAAUUAUAUCGAGUCGAAAAUCUAAAAUUCUGCCUGUCCAGAAAACACUGGAGUCCGAAAGUCGUUACCAUUAAUGGUAUUAGAUUUCAAAUUUGGAAGCGCCUACAUGAAGUUUGAGUUGCGGGGAGUCCGAAAAUGCAACUGCUUUUUCCAGAAACUCACCGGAAACCACCCGAUCGAGAGCGGAAAGUUUGAUCUCCAGCGAGGUUGCACAUUGCUGCCGACGAGGGAAAAGCGGCUGGAGAGCUCGACUCGGGGGUUUUCGACGACGGGGAGCUUGUUUCUGGCGUCGAGCAAGCGAAAGGACAACGAUAUGAGGCUGUUUCGGCGGCGGUAGCUCCCCGCUCCAAGUUCGAUGUCGGCAGCAAGGGAGAAAAAGGAGGAGGCGAUGCCAGCGAGGGAGGGGAAGAAAAAGAAGAAGUUGCCAGCAGUUGAAGGAGGUGGCAGGCCGCGGAAAAAAAAAGGGAGGCGAGGGAGGUGAUGGGGCCGGGGGGAAGAGAAAAGGGAGGAGGAAGAAGAAAAAGGGAGAGCAAAAAACAGUUUUCUUCCCUUUUUUUUACUUACUUAUUUAUUU
rnacentral:lncRNA from 1 species